CUGCGAAAGAAAUUUGAAAUGGGUUUAAGUUCGCCGAGUCUAACGAAGUUGCUACCUAGCGCUUUUCUCACGUUAACCAGAUUAUCUCCUGCAAAGGCUAAUGAACGACAGAAAAGUAUGAAGUCUCGUUUAAACCAGGACGUUUUAGAAAGUUAGUUUGGCGUAAAUAGGCUAAAAGGCGGUCUUCACGAUCACCCUGACAGGAAGGAGUAUCAUUAUUAUUAAUUAUCAAAAUAUUAAACGUAAUAUUUUUCAACGUGUGUCAGUUGAUCUAAAUUCCGCUGACCCAAUUGAAAAAAAUGAUGACUUGAAGAUUCUCAACAACGACGGGCUUGAAAAUUUGGCAGGGUACAUCUGCCACAAACUUGGUAAAGAUAACCCCGAAAUUUGUGCCAAUUCAGAAAAUUGUUCAUCUUAUACUUGGAUGGAUCACCUAUCUGAAGGAGGACUCUCAAAACCAACAGAUAUGUUGAUGGAGAAAGCCUUGCAAGCAGUAUUUGACGACUUAAAUGGUACUGAUUUGCAUAUACAUAUGUGCAAACUAGGUCCAGAAGCACUUAGAUUUAAGUAAUUUUGUUAAUUGUAGCACCAAAAUGAAAGAAUUGUUUUUCAGAGCUAAAAUGUAUUUUAGGAUUCGCUCCUUAAAUAAAAACUUAAUUGAAAAUAUGUAAAGCAAAAAAAGAAAAUUAAAUAAGACAAUAAAUUGAUAGUUGGUCACAAAAUAUUCAAUAUUUUUAUUUGCAAAAAUGUAUGUAUAUAGUUGAAACAAACACAGCAAAGAGACAAAAUUAAAUAAUGCAACGAAAAUACCAUGAAUUGAAUAUGUAGGUAAAUGUUCACUAUAAAAUAUUCACUUAUAUUGAUGUUAACUUUUGAUGAUAUUCAUGUUUUUGUAUGCCUGCAAUACAAAAUUGCUUCUUAUUGCAAAGAAUAACAAACAACUGAAAAUCAGCUGAUUGUACGUUGAUCAACCGUGACGUAGAUUCGCAGAACGAACAAAAUUUGAACUCGUCAUUGCGCAAUCUUGUUUCUAUCAUUCUUGGUUGGCCCGGGUAUCGUCCGGGUAAAGUGCUGAACGCAAUACCGACGACAGACGACAAACAACAUCUGUCAAAUAUUAAAAUACACACGUUCUUAUGCAGCUGCACGACUACACGACCGUAGGCCGACGGUUGUCGCUCUCGCUAACUUAAAUUUUCUCCUAUAUUUGCCAACGACAGUAGGUCGACAGUAGAGUUGACAGUAGAAUGGAAGAUAGAGAGAUGAGGAAGAGUGGUGAUGCCACUAAUAUGUUAAAUGUAAAAUUAUUCACAGAUCUUACAAACUUGACGUUAUUUUACAAAUAAAAGCAUAAAAUAGCGCUAUUUUACCAUUUGUAAUAACAAUUGAUAAUUUAAAACAAAUAAAUUUACCUAUUUACUUAUUUUUUGCAUAAAAAACUUCACUUUGAACAAAAUAUUAAAAUUUCAUUCAAGUGCAAGGUAUUAGUGUGGCCACAACGAAAUUGUGUACAUGCAAAAUGGACAACUGCGUUGUCUUGUGUAUAUGCCGGCCAUUGUUAUGUUGCUGCAUUCUUACGAAUGUUCAUGUAGUAAGAUGCACAACCCCAUUUUCAGUUCACUGUCGUGUCGUGUCGUUAGCAUUGUAUUCACCAACUAACAGAUUUCUUUAUAUCGAUCAAGAAUGAUAGAAUACAAGAUUACGACACUAGUUUACCGUUAGUUUUUUUCGGUUUAGCUCUUGACAAUUCUUACAAAAACAAAUACAUUGUGCAACAAUUUCGUGACGUCACACUUUUGCGUUAAGAAGAACAAGCAUAGAAAUGCAUACAAAUUGUAAACAGAAAAGUAAACACUUUUGGAAAUUCCCAAAAUAAUAUUAAUUCUUUCGUCUUUGCAAGAAAAAUUUCAGUGGAAUGUUUAGAAUAUUGUUGCGAGAAAAGAUAUAUGUAAGUAGUUUUAGGCACAUCCACAAUAAAUAGAGUAGCAUGUGUGGAAAUUGUUCAAAUGAAGAAAACUAGUGAAGGUGUACUGUUGUAUUUAUUUAAAUUUCUAAGCAUAAAUAUAUUAAUUUUUUAAAAUGAAAUGUGCAGUGGCUUGUUGUAAUAAUUAUUAUGCAAUUAAAGGAUCGAAAACGAGUUUUUUCAGUUUUCCGGCCGAUUUAAAAGUUGCCAAAAAAUGGGUGUUAUUUUGCAAAAGAAAUGAUAUAUUUAAUACUAAAUCCUCUUUAAUUAAUUAAUUUCACAAUUCUUUUAUCAUAAUUUCAUACAUCUGAUACAUCUGAACUUAUAAUUGAUAAAAAAUUAAUAAGGAAUUUCAUUAAUUUCACAAUUUUGUAAAAGUUGUCGAAUCAAUUUCAAAUUUUUUUUAUAUUAAUUAAUACUAAAGUUUUGUAUGUUUUUGGGUGUAGCAGCAAACUCUCUCAUACUCCAACACAAGCACACAGUUUGGUAGUGUGCGUUUGGGCAUCACUGCUAUACAUAGAAGUAUUAUUGGGUAUUCGAAAAUUGGCAACAUUUUGUCAAAAGAUGUUGCAGUCGUACAUAUAUUUCCAGUACAACCAAUUUCAUUGUGUCAUACCAUAUAGUGUUUGAAGGCUUCAUAUAACCAAGUUAAAUUCGGGGAAAAUAAUUACAGCUGUUCAAAAAUGAGUGAAAAUAAUGAAGAAAUUCGCUUUAUUUUGAUAUUUUUGUAUAAAAAAGGGAAGAAUACAAUGCAAGCCACCAAUGAAAUUUUUGAAGUUUACGGAGAUGAUCACAUUGUAUUAACAAUGAAACAUAAUAAUAAAAGAACAUUCACUUCUAAGUGAACUAAAUUAAAAAAUUUUUGUUCUAAUAGGAUAUAGAAUGUUUAACUCGCGCGAGUUCCUCCUGGGGGACCGUUGGUGGUGCUCGCUACCUUCUCAGCUGCUGCACUCGACUUCGACUACAGUGCGUCGCUUCAUGAGACCAUGUCAUUAUCAACCUCUUUGGCAUGCUCCCCAAACAGCGACUGCUCCUCUGACGAGAGGAUAUAAGGAACCUGCAACUACACUGGUUUUAUUGACCUUCUCCUCGACUAUGGUCGUUCUUUACGACCCUUGGCAUAACACGGCGAGCUGUCGGGUCUAUGUUUUUGUAGGGGAACGUGAAGGUCCGCUGCGCCAAAGCCCCAUAACGCGGUAAUGCCACCAUUACUUGCCAAUUCGGCCGGUGUUGGGAAGCUUCUGUUCAGUCGAAUUAACCUCCUGGCUGCAAAUCAUUCAAUGGGCAUGGGAGUUGCAUAACACCCUGGAUUUGGAUGUGGUACUCUUCGUCUCAACCCUCAUGAGUGAUGCCAUGUUGCACCGCUCAUGGCGGAUAUACAUUGCAGUUAAGCUCCUGCACCACAACAAGGUACUUAUAAUUCAGAGAGAAGUAAACAUAGUAUAGUCAACCACGACAUCUACCCAAUGUCCCCGCAUAAGAUAAAAAACAAGUCUUACACCGCGACAUAAGGUUUUUGUACUCUAAGUUUGUAUAUGCUUAGUGCUGCCCGCACUAAGUUUGUAAAUGAAUUUAUUAUUUCUUCAAGACACAAUCAUCUAAUACGAAAAAAAAACAAUAAUAUUUCAUUAACAUUCUAGUGCUAACCAGAUAUGGUAUGAAUGAUUAAGAACUGCGAACUAGGGUUAUUUUAAUUCCAUCAGCGCAAUACCUUCCAUGUUGAUAUUUUAGUUCUUGUAGAAAUUGUUUUAUAUACAGUAAAUACAUGUUAAAAAAUAUGUUGGAAUUGUAAUGCAGGUAUAUAUUCUUCCUUACUGGCGUGGAAACCGUUUACGCGGUUAUAAACGAGUUUACAGCAGCGCGUCGCUUCUUCCUUUCGCAAGGUGCCGCAAAUUGGAGAUUCCAAGCGAAGCCACGUUCUUCUCCAUGUGGUCCUUCCAACGAAGUGGAGGUCUACUUCUUCCUCUACUUUUCCCGGCGGGGAACAGUUUCUCCAGUCACUUCAAACCAGAACAAUAAAUGUAUCAGAUUUUUCAAGUGUUUGCUUUUAGUUCAUCAACGCGGAGGCUUUUAAGACAUUAAUAGGUAUGAAUGGCAUAAAUAGUCAAGGCAUUGCGAUGAGUCCGUUGACGGAAUAAAUGUAAAAAGUGAACGAUUUGCCAAUGUCUGAAGGUGAUAAGAAAAAACUUGACGAAUAUAUUGAAGAAAUUUACAAUAAAGUGGGAGAAUUCGCGGGCGAAUUUAACAACAUUGAGUGUGCUGGACUUUGCUACUAAAUAUAAAGUAGCAUUAACGACAGUUGUGUACCAAAUGCUCAUUCGACAUUGCCUUAUUCAAACGUCAUAAUCAUGUUGAAAGCGGUAGCACCUAUACAAUAAAUAUGAUGAAAAAAUUUGCAUAUCUUAAUUGGAUGAAUGUCAGCUGGAGUGUAUCUAAUAGUAUAGCAUUAAUAUUUGCAAAUUUCGGAGAAGAAAUCUCAAGUCAGAUCCAAUCACUGUUAUUAUUAUAUUUAAAUAACUCAAUACUAAUUGUUUUAAAUCAUCUAAUUUAAAAUGUUAUUAUUAGUUUGGCUAAUAUACAUACAUACAUAUGUACAAAUUGUGUGAAUAUUAAGAAAUAGUAAAUUAAUGUAUUUAGUAUUGUAAAUUGUACGUAGUAUAACAAUGUAAACCAAGAAUGAUAGAAUAUAAGAUUACGACACUAGUUUACCGCUAGUUUUUUUCGGUUUAGCUCUUGACAAUUCAUACAAAAACAAAUACAUUUUGCAACAAUUUCGUGACGUCACACUUUUGCGUUGAGAAGAACAAGCAUAGAAAUGCAUACAAAUUGUAAACAGAAAAUUAAACACUUUUGGAAAUUCCCAAAAUAAUAUUAAUUCUUUCGUCUUUGCAAGAAAAAUUUCAGUGGAAUGUUUAGAAUAUUGUUGCAAGAAAAGAUAUAUGUAAGUAGUUUUAGGCACAUCCACAAUAAAUAGAGUAGCAUGUGUGGAAAUUGUUCAAAUGAAGAAAACUAGUGAAGGUGUACUGUUGUAUUUAUUUAAAUUUCUAAGCAUAAAUAUAUUAAUUUUUUAAAAUGAAAUGUGCAGGGGCUUGUUGUAAUAAUUAUUAUGCAAUUAAAGGAUCGAAAACGAGUUUUUUCAGUUUUCCGGCCGAUUUAAAAGUUGCAAAAAAAUGGGUGUUAUUUUGCAAAAAAAAUUAUAUAUUUAAUACUAAAUCCUCUUUAAUUAAUUAAUUUCACAAUUCUUUUAUCAUAAUUUCAUACAUCUGAUACAUCUGAACUUAUAAUAUAUGUAUACAUAUAUUUAUAUACAACACAAGAAACGUCUUCUCCAUUUGAAUCACAACUUAAUAGACAAUUUUAUUAUCAAUAGGCCGAUAUAUUUCUUUGGAAAUGAUUCAAAUCUUUUCACUCAACAAUAUUCAAUCGCUUCACUAAAACUUUUCAUUAAAAUCGAAAGAAUUAAUAAUAUUUUGCGAAUUUACAAAAGUGUUCACUUUUCUGUUUACAAUUUGCAAGCCAUUUGACAGUUUUUCACUCUUGUUCUUCUCAACACGCAACUAUGACGUUUCAUAAUGGCGGGUGUCGUAAUCUUGUAUUCUAUCAUUCUUGAUGUAAACCAAGAAAAUAACGUUAAUAUUGUAAAUAGCAUAAAUGUUGCCAAAUAUUGAUUGUUAAAGAAAAUUCAGUUUUCAAUAUAUAUAUGUACAUAUAUGUAAAUAAAUGGUAAUAUUUAAAAGCUUAUCUUAAAUAAUUACUGGAAAAUUGUAAAAAUGGAUAUUAAAAAUAUAACUGUUGUGUAUAAAUAUGUAAACUUUAAAAAGAAAUAAAAUAAAAAUUUUAAUUGUUUUA